rnacentral:misc_RNA from 1 species
AAGUCGUAACAAGGUUUCCGUAGGUGAACCUGCGGAAGGAUCAUUAUUGAAAUAAACCUGAUGGGUUGUUGCUGGUUCUCUAGGGAGCAUGUGCAUGCCUUGUCAUCUUUAUAUCUCCACCUGUGCACUUUUUGUAGACCUUUCAGGUCUAUGUUGCUGCAUUUACCCCAAUGUAUGUUAAUAGAAUGUUGUGCCUAUAUAAUAUAUACAA